ACAUUUCCUUUUUUGUGAAUUCACCUUUUUUGCUUUUUUAUUUAGAAUUACAUGGAGGUGCUUUGUUCUUUAUUAAAUGUCCGACGAACGUUACACUCAGUGAGCCACAUGUACAGUAACCUGCCUCAUACUGAAUGAACACAUGCUGUUGUGUUUCAGGGCUCCAUGCCCUGCUAAAAGCUUUUACCCUAAUGACAAUGGCCGUGUGUGUUACACUGCUGCAGUUAUUUAUAAUUUAAUAUGCAGAACACGUGCAUGACAAACACACUUGUCUUUUGUCAUUUUUUUGUGUUAGUUUGAAACUCUUUAGUUUCAGAUUUUGUUAGUAUUUUAGGGUAUUUUUGCAGGCUUUGAGGUUACAGGUUUUCACCAGAAAAUCCUUUUUUUUUUUUGCUAGUUGCUUUAUGGUUUUAUGUCCAUCAUAGCUACUUAGGUUUAAUAGACAAAAAUUAGUAUUCGUAAUGAUUUGUGUUUUAAUUUUCAUAGAGAAUGAAGUACAGUGAGAAGCAGAAAGCUCAAGAGMGCCUCUAAUGACGUCCUGCUCUGUUAACACCAUAAAGGCCUUUGACAGCAGGACGGACGACGCCUGGCUUUACUGGUCAAUCUGGGAUUUUAUUGCAUGUGAGCUAUUAUAGGCCUGUAAAGGAACAAGAACGCUCCUAAAUCAUCUCUCCUUGUUUUAACUUGGAUUUUAUUAUUUUUUAUUUUUUUAUCAAGAAAUGUUUUGGAAUAAAUAAAUAAAUAAACAGAAUGUGAUCAUUUAAAUGUUUAUUUUAUUUGUUUAAUUGUUGCUCAAGGAAAUUACCUUUUUGCUUAUUAAUAAAAAUAUAUAUUCUUUUAUUAUUUCCAGUUUGUGCAGGGCUGAUUAUAAAAUGUAAAAGCACAGAAUGAAUGUAUGAAUAAUUGUACGGAUUAAUCAAGUAAUAAAUGUGUUCAGAUGAAAAUGUUUUGGUGAUAGAAUCACUUUUGUGAAGGUUUUGUUGCAUUUUUAUCUAAUACUCCAACUCUUUUGUCUAAAUGGUUUUGUCUAAUAAAAAAACUCAGUUUAAUUCAAAA